UUAAAUUAAAUAGUUUUAAUCAUUUUUAAUUAUUAAAGCUAUUUAAUUUCAGUAUUUAAGAGCAGAAGGGUAUUUUGGUCAUUUUACCAAAAGAGUAUUUGAGUAUUUCCACAAAGAAGUAUUUUAGUAUUUUCAAGAAAGUAUUUUAUUAAUAUUAGUAGGAAGAUUAUUUUGGAAAUUUAUCAUCAAAUGUAUUUUGGCAAUUUGAUGAGUAAAGGCAUUUUGGUCUUUUAUCCAAAUUGGCUACCACUAUAAAAAGGAAACCCUAAAGUUUCCCAUCUUUUUUUCACUAGCCACCUUUUCAAAAGAAAGAGUAAGAUGGGUUUUUCUCUCAAACUCUUUCUUCCUCAAGUUUCAAGAAUAAUUAAAGCCAGUCAAACUUUUGACUGUUGAUUUUUGUGUAAUCAAGAGUUUAGAGAAGAAGUUGCAGGUACAAGUUCUUGAUGUGCAUGGAAAUCAUAAGCAUCCGGAUGGGAGUUUUAGUACACGA